rnacentral:rRNA from 1 species
ACGGGGGCAGCAGUGGGGAAUAUUGGGCAAUGGGCGCAAGCCUGACCCAGCGACGCCGCGUGGGGGAAGAAGGUCUUCGGAUUGUAAACCUCUUUCAGCAGGGAAGACCAAGAGACGGUACCUGCAGAAGAAGUCACGGCUAACUACGUGCCAGCAGCCGCGGUAAUACGUAGGUGGCGAGCGUUAUCCGGAAUUACUGGGUGUAAAGGGUGUGUAGGCGGAGAAGCAAGUCAGGCGUGAAACUUAUGGGCUCAACCCAUAAACUGCGCUUGAAACUGUUUCCCUUGAGAGUGGGAGAGGUUAACGGAAUUCCUGGUGUAGUAGUGAAAUGCGUAGAUAUCAGGAGGAACACCGGUGGCGAAGGCGGUUAACUGGACCACAACUGACGCUGAGACACGAAAGCGUGGGGAGCAAACAGGAUUAGAUACCCUGGUA